rnacentral:rRNA from 1 species
UGGGGAAUAUUGGACAAUGGGGGCAACCCUGAUGCAGCGACGCCGCGUGAGCGAUGAAGCCCUUCGGGGUGUAAAGCUCUUUCGGCAGGGAAGAUUAUGACGGUACCUGCAGAAGCAGCUGCGGCUAACUACGUGCCAGCAGCCGCGGUAAUACGUAGGCAGCAAGCGUUGUUCGGAGUUACUGGGCGUAAAGGGUGUGUAGGCGGUUCCCUAAGUUUGGUGUGAAAUCUCCCGGCUCAACUGGGAGGGUGCGCCGAAAGCUGGGGAGCUAGAGUGUGGGAGAGGAAAGUGGAAUUCCUGGUGUAGCGGUGAAAUGCGUAGAUAUCAGGAGGAACACCUGCGGUGUAGACGGCUUUCUGGACCAUAACUGACGCUGAGACACGAAAGCGUGGGUAGCAAAC